UGCAGUCGAACGAUGAACCUCCUUCGGGAGGGGAUUAGUGGCGAACGGGUGAGUAACACGUGGGCAAUCUGCCCUGCACUCUGGGACAAGCCCUGGAAACGGGGUCUAAUACCGGAUACUGAUCAUCUUGGGCAUCCUUGGUGAUCGAAAGCUCCGGCGGUGCAGGAUGAGCCCGCGGCCUAUCAGCUUGUUGGUGAGGUAACGGCUCACCAAGGCGACGACGGGUAGCCGGCCUGAGAGGGCGACCGGCCACACUGGGACUGAGACACGGCCCAGACUCCUACGGGAGGCAGCAGUGGGGAAUAUUGCACAAUGGGCGCAAGCCUGAUGCAGCGACGCCGCGUGAGGGAUGACGGCCUUCGGGUUGUAAACCUCUUUCAGCAGGGAAGAAGCGCAAGUGACGGUACCUGCAGAAGAAGCGCCGGCUAACUACGUGCCAGCAGCCGCGGUAAUACGUAGGGCGCGAGCGUUGUCCGGAAUUAUUGGGCGUAAAGAGCUCGUAGGCGGCUUGUCGCGUCGGUUGUGAAAGCCCGGGGCUUAACCCCGGGUCUGCAGUCGAUACGGGCAGGCUAGAGUUCGGUAGGGGAGAUCGGAAUUCCUGGUGUAGCGGUGAAAUGCGCAGAUAUCAGGAGGAACACCGGUGGCGAAGGCGGAUCUCUGGGCCGAUACUGACGCUGAGGAGCGAAAGCGUGGGGAGCGAACAGGAUUAGAUACCCUGGUAGUCCACGCCGUAAACGGUGGGCACUAGGUGUGGGCGACAUUCCACGUCGUCCGUGCCGCAGCUAACGCAUUAAGUGCCACGCCUGGGGAGUACGGCCGCCAGGCUAAAACUCAAAAGGAAUUG
rnacentral:rRNA from 1 species